GACGAACGCUGGCGGCGUGCUUAACACAUGCAAGUCGAACGGAAAGGCCUGCUUUCCCUUGUGGAUUGCGGGUACUCGAGUGGCGAACGGGUGAGUAACACGUGAGUGAUCUGCCCCCAACUUGGGUAUAAGCCUGGGAAACUGGGUCUAAUUCCCGAUAGGACUGCAGGGUGGUGCCUGUGGUGGAAAACGAUUUUCUAGUGGUUGGGGAUGAGCUCGCGGCCUAUCAGCUUGUUGGUGGGGUAAUGGCCUACCAAGGCGGCGACGGGUAGCCGGCCUGAGAGGGUGGACGGCCACAGUGGGACUGAGAUACGGCCCAGACUCCGACGGGAGGCAGCAGUGGGGAAUAGUGCACGAUGGGCGGAAGCCUGAUGCAGCGACGCCGCGUGGGGGAUGACGGCCUUCGGGUUGUAAACUCCUUUCGACCGCGAGGAAGCCACCUGGUUGGAAGGGUGGUGACGGUAGUGGUAGAAGAAGCACCGGCUAACUACGUG
rnacentral:rRNA from 1 species